rnacentral:misc_RNA from 1 species
GUGAAUCAUCAAAUCUUUGAACGCAAAUUGCACUCUCUUCGGAGAGUAUGACUGUUUGAGGGUCAGUAUUAAUAAAAAUCGGUGUGUUGAUUAUUUGUGACGCUCCGGAGUUUGGGUGAUUUUAAUAUCAUUUAGGUUUUAAGCGGAUUAAAAUUGACAUUUUUUGCGCAUUUUAGAUGUACAUAAAUUCUUUUUUUUAUUCGUCUGUCUUAAUGAUUAAGAUUAUAUUAGAUGCGAUAAUAUUGUGUGGUUU